AAUAUCAGGCAAAGGUGAUCCCCUACAGAAUUUUUUCUUCUUUGAUGCUAUGGAUGGGAAAGGGGUAAUAGAGAACAUAUCCUCUCCUAGCCUGUGCAAUUGAGCAUCUUGUUUGUAAAUUUGAUUGUUUUGGAACAGAUGAUGCAACAAUGAGCAUCCAUUAUUGAUAUUAGGAGAUAUUAAUCCAAUGUUUGGGAUAUCAUUGAUAGAAGUUGAAGUAUUGUAAAAGUGUAGUUCAUUGACAGAUUUUCCAGCAGGUUUUGGACAUUAGAUCGUUGCUGAUGAACCUUUAACUUACGGCUCUCAAAUGGUUGGAGCAUUUUAUUUUUGUUAAACAUUUUCAUUACUCCUCAAGUAAUGAUUGCAUGCAAAGCAACAUAUCUUGCAUUUGAGUGGUCGUCUUUUAAUAACAGAGCUGAGAAG
rnacentral:misc_RNA from 1 species